UACGUAGGUGUCAAGCGUUGUCCGGAUUUACUGGGCGUAAAGAGCGCGCAGGCGGUCGAUCAAGUCGGGUGUGAAAGCCCCCGGCUCAACUGGGGAGGGUCAUUCGAUACUGAUCGACUCGAAGGCAGGAGAGGGUAGUGGAAUUCCCGGUGUAGUGGUGAAAUGCGUAGAUAUCGGGAGGAACACCAGUGGCGAAGGCGACUACCUGGCCUGUUCUUGACGCUGAGGCGCGAAAGCUAGGGGAGCAAACGGG
rnacentral:rRNA from 1 species